UACGGGGGGAGCAAGCGUUGUUCGGAUUUAUUGGGCGUAAAGGGCGCGUAGGCGGUCACGCACGUCCGUUGUGAAAUCGCUCGGCUCAACUGGGCGGGGUCGGCGGAUACGGCGUAGCUGGAGCAAGCUAGGGGGCAAUGGAAUUCCCGGUGUAGUGGUGGAAUGCGUAGAUAUCGGGAGGAACACCAGUGGCGAAGGCGACUUCCUGGCCUGUUCUUGACGCUGAGGCGCGAAAGCUAGGGGGGCAAACGGG
rnacentral:rRNA from 1 species